rnacentral:lncRNA from 1 species
GUCUCUGUGGUGACUAGCAGGGCUUCAUCCAGUGCCCCUGUCCCCACCGAGGGGACUAUGGGAGCCAUGGAAGGUGUGUGAGCAGCAGGAAACAGGCUUCAACUUUCAGAAAAAGUGCUCCUGGGACUCCAGGAUACCAAGUAAACUCUCUGAGCCUGUUUCUUCAUCUGUAAAGGGGAAUAACAGGGCCAGCCUCUCCAGGAGUGACCAGGGAGAAGAUGCCAGUAAACAGGACCAGACAGCAGGCGAGGUCAAGGCCAGAGCCCAGGCCUCCCAGAAGGCCUGGGGAACUCCCCCCAGGCCCUCACUCCAACAUCCCUCAGAAGGACCCCAUUAAAGCCACUUAGAGCCAGGCAUCAUGACGCGGUGGCACUUGCCUGUAAUCCCAACACUUUGGGAGGCCGAGGCAGGAGGAUCACUCGAGCCCAGAAGUUUAAGACUAGCGUGAGCAACAAAGAAAAAGCAAUAUAUAGAAAGUGCUUGGCUUAGCACUUUGUACAUUACAGUUCCCGGUCUGAGUUUGCCCUUGUCAUUUGAUCCUUCCCUGGCGCCGGGUCCAGGAGGACCUGGUUCUUAGGCAGCAUCUGUGUCUCUGUUUUGUAAGACACACAAGAGGGACCUUAACCCACUGCAGAGACGGAGUCUCCUUGUGUUGUCCAGGCUAGAUUCAAACUCCUGAUCUCAAGCGAUCCUCCCACCUCAGCCUCCCUGUUACCCUGUUACCAGGACAGCCCUGAUUCUUAUUGUUUUUCAGUCCAAAAAAAAAAAACCACACACACAGCUGCUUAAAGAUGGCAGGCAGCCAGAGAUGUCACCAGAGCUUCCUGACCCCUGACCAGAUACCAGAGGAAGAUAAGAUCCCUAAAUCGGCACAAACUGGAACAGACGACCUCUAGUUGACUUUAGAUCAUCAAUAUAUAUUCAUCAAUAUAUAAUUAUAAUACUAAAAUUCCUUCUCUUAAAAGAAAAUCUCCCUUUUGUGUAGACCGGUUGUAUGAAGAUCUGGAGUCCCACCCUGCACACGCUAACAUUCCUCUCCCUUCCUGUACCCAGGGGAAGAAACAAUAAAACGUCAUGUUUUUUACUGUUGAGGGAGAAGGGGCAGUUAGAGCGAGAGCCUCUCCUCCAUUCCUGGCCAGUGAAUAAAACCUGAUUGCCUUU